rnacentral:rRNA from 1 species
CCUACGGGUGGCAGCAGUGAGGAAUAUUGGUCAAUGGACGCAAGUCUGAACCAGCCAUGCCGCGUGCAGGAAGACGGCCCUAUGAGUUGUAAACUGCUUUUGUACGAGGGUAAACGCAGAUACGCGUAUCUUUCUGAAAGUAUCGUAUGAAUAAGGAUCGGCUAACUCCGUGCCAGCAGCCGCGGUAAUACGGAGGAUUCAAGCGUUAUCCGGAUUUAUUGGGUUUAAAGGUUGCGUAGGCGGUGUGAUAAGUUAGAUGUGAAAUACCGAGGCUCAACCUCGAAAUUGCCAUGGAUACUGUUAGGCUAGAGAGUAGUUGAGGUAGGCGGAAUGUGUGGUGUAGCGGUGAAAUGCUUAGAUAUCAGGAAGAACACCGAUUGCGAAGGCAGCUUACCAACCUACUACUGACGUUGAGGCACGAAAGCGUGGGGAGCAAACAGGAUUAGAUACCCGAGUAGUC